rnacentral:lncRNA from 1 species
CGUCAAGACUCAGCGAAUCUCACUUCGCUGAUCCUGUGCUCUCAGCCUGUGACCAAAAAGCCGCUCGCUCAACACACCUGAGUCAGUCCCACUUCGGAGUUCCUCUGGGGAGGUCUCGUUCAGGACCCAAAUUUGGGCUGGUGCUGUGUGCUUUUACGGGCUCAUCCGAGUUUGCCUCUUAUCCAGCACCAUUAAUGGACUUACCGCUCACCAAGAUUGCAGAACACAAUUGAUUCCACAGGGAAUGAACAGCCCAGCGUCAUCCCCACCAGUCUCUUCCUUCUGCCGGGACAAAGACCCUCUGAUGUAUCUGCGCAGAAGGGAGAGAGUAAAUUCUGGUGUCUAGAAGAACAGAACUGAACCAAUUGGCAGGUGUCCAAACAUAACAAACCUAGCUCUCGAGGAUGAUGACACCUCUAACUAUGAAAGGACUGCAUUACAACGUAGAGUGUGUCUCUCACUGGAGAUGGAAAUAAAAAAUACAAAAAGUUACUAAGGGUAUAAAUAAGAAUAGGAAGUUCCAC